CACACUGCUUUUGAUGCAGCUCUGGAUAUGGUUGGAAGUUUUCAGUCCUUUUAUUAUUCUGGAUAUAGAAACAUAAAACUCAAAGAACUUUCUAAAAUGAUACUAUUUAAUUAGAAAGCUGACAUAUUUUUAUCACAACUGUGAUACUCCUGGCUGCUGCCAAGAAGGCCUGGGGAAGGGGACCGACAGAAAUUCGUGUACUUUAUAAAAUAAUCAAAUGGUGCAUGAGUGUGUUCAAGUAGAAAUUAUUACUGAAACCAAAGGGUGCACAGCAAGGAUAGAGCAUCCUCAGAUUCAUUGCCCUUUCCAGAUCAAAGUGCUGACAAGCUGAUCUUGUCAUUUGCUUGGGUCACUGUCCUGGAAGCCCAUGGGGUACCUCAGCUCUACCUUGCAGUGCUAGCAGGGCUGCUGUGAGAGGACUCCCAGUCUGUUCUGCUGGUGUGGACUGGAGCACCAGACCAGAGACACAGGUUGCUCUCUGAGGAGGGGAUGGAUCUUCACAUGGAUAAAGUUUUGUUGCUCCCACAGUAUUUAGAUAUGAGGCAGCAGGGCCAGCAGAUCCAAAGGUGGAAGGGCUGGACUUGCCACUCAGAUUUCCCUCUGAAUGGCUGCUGAAGGUUUUAUUUCACCUACACAAACCAAGGAGCUUAUCUGGUAAUUUUCCUGUUCUGUCUUUUCAGCUGAGAAGGAGAUGGACAGCCCUAUCCCAAGCUGUGAGUUGCACUCAGGACAGAGGUCAACUGCAGAUCCAAAGAAUGAUCUCAUGUCCUGCCUCUACAGCCUGGCACUGCUGCUAGGACCCCUCUCAGAGCCAAGACUCAACAGAGUUUCAGCCCCAUGCUCUGCCCCUGCAAAACUUGCCCUCACCCAGCAAAGGGUGUGUGGCUGGCCAGGGACUGGCACAGGAUGCACCCAGACAGCUCAGUUUUCCUCCCUUUCCACUUUCUCUGUGACUCCUGGAAUGUGUUUGCACAUGGUGGAAAAAAUGCAGAGAGUAGAGAGAAGCAGCCAGGAACAUCACCCUCCCUGCUGGCGCUCAGCUCUGGGGUUGGUAGCUUGUGCCAGCAUUGGUAGCCAAAAAAGUUGGAGGAGACCCUGAUGCCUGGAGCAGGUGAAAUACAGAGAGAUCAGACGGAUUUUUUGGGUUAAUUCUUUAUUUAAUUAAACAAUGUAUAAUCUGCACAAACUUGGUUAACACAGGCUUACCGUGAGAGGUGAAAUCUGUUUUGAUCAGAAAACUGGCUUGCAAUGAGUACAAAAUAUUUCACAAACUUUCAAACCCAUCUUUUCCUCCCUUUUUUCAUUAAUGGGCAUCUUUUAUCCUGUCCUAAGCAACAGCAGUAAGACUAAUUAGUUUAACAAGUACAACAAAUGGUUUUAUUGACAAAAAAGAACCCUUUGAAAUAUACAUUACACUCACAGAGGAUUAAAUUACACCCUAUUAUCCAUUUUCCAUACAAAAUAAAGAUUACUUUGAUAAAUCACAACUAAUGUUAUCUUUGGCUGAUAAGAACUCGGUACUUAUUUGUGUGGCUUCUAUAAAUAGUGUGUUCUGAUUUUUUCCUCCCUAAAAUAGUCAGUGAUACAGUCUGCCAGGCAUUUUCCUGCAAUUUGACAAUGCCACAUCUGUAAACCAGGCAGCAAGGGAAAGCUUCGUUGUCUGAAUAUGAAACAUGCGACAGUCUCUUUCUUUUCUAUCAGCUCCUCUGCAGUAAUCUAUCAAACACCUUUCAGCCAUACCUUGCUCCAUCAAGGUUUCCUUACUGCUAAAGCAAGGCAGUCAAAACAAACUCCUUUUGUUAAGAGCAAAGCCUUUGUGGUUCACCUUGCCAUUGAACGCAAAGUCAGUGUGACAGUUGCAGCAUGAGGGGGUUGUACCCUCAUUUAGGCCUUAAUGCACAUAAGGUAUGUACAGUAAGGUACAAAAGUGUACAUUUUUAGAAGGGCUCCUUUGUGCUUUGCCUUUCCUCAGCUUUGCACCAGAGCAUUCUGCAGAUUGCUGGAGAUCUAUCGCACCAUCUCCAGGUGGAUAAACAGUUGGUCGAGGACCAAGCCAGAAGCAAUGUCUUGUGUUUACUUCAGACCUGCAUUGGCUCUGCACAAAGUGGCUCUUUACUGAAGCAUGGAGAUAGUCAGGAUACUGGAAAAAGAUCUUUGUGGGCCAAGAGGCUCACCCACCUUUUGAGCAUUUAGAAACAACAUACACCAGGCACAAACAUCUCCACUGGACCACAGCUCAGCUGCCUUGCAGGGCAGCCAACAGCUUAGCACAGCACAGCAGCACACAAGCACCUUUGAAAAACUUCCAGGAGUUUGAUUCUGAAAAACUGAAGCUGAUUUCCUACUGUGUAGCGAACCACCAGAGAGAUCUGCCUUGCCACAUGAAUGGCAUUGCCUCUCCUACCCCUCAGGACAAAUAUCCAAGUUCAAAUUAUAUUCAUUUCCCAUUUUUUGAAAUUCUUUCAAGAAACACAUUUGUUCUGAGUUCAACUACUGCUUUGUAUGCACUGGCUGACUCAAAGCAUCUCAUUUUACUCUAAAUAUUCACGGGUUCGAAUUUGUGUAGCAGUUGCUAGAUUGGCUUGAAAUAAGGUUUGCAAAGUUCUUAAGACUGGUGGGGAAAAGAUGUAGAGGUUCUGGAAAUCUUUAACAAGUAAAUUCAGUAUGUCAACUGAGUUAUAUGAUUUUUGAAACUUCUCUGAACUUCUCAAACAUAAAUCAACUUAACAUCCAUUUGCAGCAUAUAACCCUAGCUGGGCCAUUUUGGACAGGUGCCCUCACCAUAAGCAAGGGUUUCUUUUCCCACAUUUUCCCUCAGAAGCAGGUGGCAGCAGAUUUCAAAUAAACCCACACCCAUGUCUGUGUUCCUUUCUGGAGGGUGUGUUUUGCUCAUGGAAAUAUGUCUAACCUCUUUGUUUAAUUUUCAAAAUUUUAUAAGCGUCCCACCCCCUGGGUUGCCCACAAAGUGACUCAGCAAGCCAAGCAAAGGGAUCAAAGAACAGAUAGAGUUUUUUAAACGAAUGGAAAAGUUUAGCAGUUCUGAAAGUAUUUUCCCUCAACACAUAUUUCAAAACAUUAAUAAAAAUAAUUACAGCUGAGUCUAACAGACAAAAUGCAGGGCUAGAGCAAUAAAUCUUAGAGAACAGGGAGGAGCACUCUGAAAUGCUGCAAAACAAAUAGAUUAUCACCUUUCCAAACCUCUGCAAGCUUCUCUCUUCCUGUAAUAGAAAACAAAAAAAUCACCAUGGCUGGGCUGCUGCUUUCUUGCUGUAAUUAAAACAAUUUAUAUAUUGCAUUUCCUCAGUGGUGUGCACAUUUAUAAAGCAGGAAGGAGGAAACUGUACACAGGAGCGAACACAUAGGAAUUGCCAGCAGUGCAGAUGAACCACCUUGGAUCCAACUCAAGCUCAACUCCAUUUCUUGCUGCUCCUUGAAUACUCUGUGGGUGACAAAGUCCUGGGAACCCGAUUCUGUUUCACGGACUCAUGUAUUGGAAUCAAAAAUAAGGUCCUGAUGUAAUAAAUGGAGGAAGAUCCAGACCUUAGAGGUCUCAGAGACCCCUUAUGUAUGUGCCACAGAGCCAAACUCCUCCUUGCUUAUUCCAUCUCCUGCCUCCCAUAUUUUGCACUGAUUUAUGCACAGCUGCUGAAUUCAAAAGAGAAGAAACAGACCUGCCCCAUCUCAUACCAUGCAACAGUCCGAGGGGGCUGGGUGCUUGCCAGGAAGAUGGGGUAUGUUGAUUCCAAACUCCUCUGGCCCAGAACCCAGCUCUCCCACUUCCCAGGAAAGUGCUCUUUGUACCAGACAACACAUCUGUUCUCAGAACAGGGCUGUCAGGGUGUCACACGCAGGGAGUGCUGCCUGCUAUGGGCAGUGCUGCUAUGGGCAGUGUACAAACCCCUCUCUUGUCCCACCUUGCCCAGUCGCAGCCCAGCACAGAGCAGGGAGUUGCCCUCUCCAGGAAAAGGGAUAAGGACCAACAGCAUGGCCUGACUGACUCAGCCCAGCCAUGGGAGCAUCUUUUCAGGCACGGUCAGAGCUGCAGUAACUGGUCUGAAAAUGGGCCAGGUACCGACACCCAGAGUGACUUCAUUUACUGCAAUGCUGAUGGAUCCUCCAGCUCAUCAGAGGACUGCAGCUUCAAGGUUCCCAGCCUGGAAAUCCAGGGAACUUGUAGAAUAAAAGGGUCAGAAAUGCCAAGAUGGAAAAGGCAGGUCAUAAUCUAAUCCCAUUUUCCCUCCUACUCAUAGGAAGACAAGCAAGAGAAAGUAAAAACAUGGAAGACAGAGUCAGUAAGUCAAAUAUUUUUAUUGAUGUCCUUUCUUAUUUGUGACCAUUAUUAUUUAGUCAUUAAUUGCACAGACCAAAAUUAGCGAUUGACUUUAAUUUCUCUAAAUUACAACUUCUAUAGCUUUUGCAUUUUUUACCAAGAGAAGACAAAAUCAUGAGUAAGUGUCUACAUGGAAUCAAAGAUAGGAAGCAACUUCUUACUAAUCCUCAUGCAAGCUACUUAUUAUUGGAGACUGAGGUUGAGCGUUAUUUCAGGAAAAAAGUUCACCCUUAUGAGUCUGCUCAUUUCAAGCUAAUUUAUAGUCCUUUCACAUCUGAUGUGAUUUUCAUCUAUUAGAUAAUAAUUACAGGCAUAUUAAGCAAUAUUAACAUUAUUAAACAACAAUGAACAGCUGCCUGAAUGUAUACUACGGCAAUGCAAAAUCUGAGUAAUACAAAGAGCCUUACCUGGUAAUUUCCCAUUAGAGCUUUUCUAAGCUUCUAGAAUUUUUUUGUCUUACAAGUCUAGAGAUUUUAAACAGAAUAAAUCUAACAUUCAUAUUUACAGGAAGAUUUAUGCCUGGCCCAAGAACUCCAGGGACACUUACACUUUCUAUACUGACAAAUUACUCCCAUUUGGAAAAGGAGCUAUUGCUUUAUUGUGGCAUUACCACAGAAGCUGCUUUCUGAGCACACUGAAUGCAUUUUGUGCAAUGAGUCUUCAAAGAGGCUAAAAUGUAUUGCUGCUGCUCUUUAUGUCUUGCUCUUUUGCAAGCAUACACUAAGCUGCAGACUUGGCUGCCACCAAGUAUGUAUUUUAUAUGUGAACUAUUACUACUAAUAAAAGUAAAAUAAGUUAUUCAAUAUGAAUGACUGCUCCUCUCCCCCUUGAUGUACAUAAAAUAAGCCACAUAUAAUGGGAGAGUAAACUCAAGCGAAUGUUUUAACUCUGUGGCACUCCUACAGCAACAAAAGAGAAGAAAAAAAAUGCUUCCAACAAAA